rnacentral:rRNA from 1 species
CGACCCGUUACGACGGGGAAGUGUCUGAUGUCAGGCUUCCAAGAAAAGCCCGAACCACGUUAAUUCAAAUUGGCCCGUACCCUAAACCGACACAGGUGGGAAGGUAGAGUAUACCCAGGGGCGCGAGAUAACUCUCUCUAAGGAACUCGGCAAAAUGGCCCCGUAACUUCGGGAGAAGGGGUGCCACCGAGAGGUGGUCGCAGUGAAGAGUCCCAGGCGACUGUUUACCAAAAACACAGGUCUCCGCUAAGUCGCAAGACGAUGUAUGGGGGCUGACGCCUGCCCAGUGCCGGAAGGUUAAGGAAGUUGGUCAGGGAGAAAUCCUGAAGCUAGCGACUGAAGCCCCGGUGAACGGCGGCCGUAACUAUAACGGUCCUAAGGUAGCGAAAUUCCUUGUCGGGUAAGUUCCGACCCGCACGAAAGGCGUAACGAUCUGGGAGCUGUCUCGGAGAGAGGCUCGGCGAAAUAGGAAUGUCUGUGAAGAUACGGACUACCUGCACCCGGACAGAAAGACCCUAUGAAGCUUUACUGUAGCUUGGUAUUGGGUUCGGGCUUUGAUUGCGCAGGAUAGGUGGGAGACUAUGAGAUAGCUCUUGUGGGAGUUAUGGAGUCACUGGUGAGAUACCACUCUAUCAAGGCUAGAAUUCUAACUUUGACCCGUUAUCCGGGCAGAGAACAGUAUCAGGUGGGCAGUUUGACUGGGGCGGUCGCCUCCUAAAUGGUAACGGAGGCGCGCAAAGGUUCCCUCAGGCUGGUUGGAAAUCAGCCAUUGAGUGUAAAGGCAUAAGGGAGCUUGACUGCGAGACUGACAAGUCGAGCAGGUACGAAAGUAGGCCUUAGUGAUCCGACGGUUCCGCGUGGAAGGGCCGUCGCUCAACGGAUAAAAGUUACUCUAGGAUAACAGGCUGAUCUCCCCCAAGAGUUCACAUCGACGGGGAGGUUUGGCACCUCGAUGUCGGCUCAUCGCAACCUGGGGCUGUAGUCGGUCCCAAGGGUUGGGCUGUUCGCCCAUUAAAGCGGUACGUGAGCUGGGUUCAGAACGUCGUGAGACAGUUCGGUCCAUAUCCGGUGCAGGCGUAGGAACAUUGAGAGGAGUCUUCCUUAGUACGAGAGGACCGGGAAGAACGCACCGCUGGUGUACCUGUUAUCGUGCCAACGGUAAACGCAGGGUAGCCAAGUGCGGAGAGGAUAACCGCUGAAAGCAUCUAAGUGGGAAGCCCACCUCAAGAUGAGUGUUCCCAUGGCAAAAGCCAGUAAGGUCACGGGUAGACCACCCGUUAAUAGGCGCUAGAUGGAAGUCCAGCAAUGGAUGUAGUCGAGGCGUACUAACAGACCGAGGGCUUGAC